rnacentral:rRNA from 1 species
GGGGAAUUUUCCGCAAUGGGCGAAAGCCUGACGGAGCAAGACCGCGUGAGGGAGGAAGGCCUACUGGUUGUAAACCUCUUUUGAUAGGGAAGAACACAAUGACGGUACCUAUCGAAUCAGCCUCGGCUAACUCCAUGCCAGCAACCGCGGUAAUACGGAGGAUGCAAGCGUUAUCCGGAAUCAUUGGGCGUAAAGGGUCCUGAGGUGGUUUGCCCAGUCUACUGUGAAGGAUCAGGGCUCAACCCUGAAAAUGCGGUGGAAACUAGCAGGCUAGAAUACGGUAGGGGCAGGGGGAAUUCCCGGUGUAGCGGUGAAAUGCAUAGAUAUCGGGAAGAACACCGGCGGCGAAAGCGCGCUACUGGGCCGAGACUGACACUGAGGGACGAAAGCUAGGGGAGCGAAAGGGAUUAGAUACCCCAGUAGUC